rnacentral:rRNA from 1 species
AGUGAACGCUGGCGGUAGGCCUAACACAUGCAAGUCGAACGGCAGCACAGUAAGAGCUUGCUCUUACGGGUGGCGAGUGGCGGACGGGUGAGGAAUACAUCGGAAUCUACUUUUUCGUGGGGGAUAACGUAGGGAAACUUACGCUAAUACCGCAUACGACCUACGGGUGAAAGCAGGGGAUCUUCGGACCUUGCGCGAUUGAAUGAGCCGAUGUCGGAUUAGCUAGUUGGCGGGGUAAAGGCCCACCAAGGCGACGAUCCGUAGCUGGUCUGAGAGGAUGUUAAGCGGCACGGGAACGGAGCCACCGUCAAGGGGCCUACGGGAGGCAGCAGUGGGGAAUAGGGGGCAGUGGGGGCAAUCCUGGUACAGCCAUACCGCGUCGGUGAAAAAGACCUUCGGGUCGUAAAGCCCCUUUUUUGGGAAAGAAAAGCAGUAGGUUAAUACCCCGCUGUUCUGACGGUACCGAGUGAAGAAGCACCGGCUAACUUCGUG